rnacentral:misc_RNA from 1 species
AAACUCCAUGUUUCAGAAAGAAACCAUAAGUGCUGCAAAGGAGAUUAUUGAUAAGGAAAUUGCUCAGAAGCUUGACGUAAAAAAUCCCCUUUUUGCUUCAAGUUCAAGCUCAUUUCGCAUAGCGGAUUUGGGAUGUUCAGUUGGACCAAAUACCUUUAUUGCUAUGGAAAAUGUGAUUGAAGCUGUCAAACACAAGUAUCAAUCCCAAGGUCUCACUUCCCAAAUCCCAGAAUUUCAAGUGUUCUUUAAUGAUCAAGACUCGAAUGAUUUCAACACUCUCUUCAGGUCUCUGCCUCCCAAAAGGCCAUACUUUGCUGCUGGGGUGCCAGGGUCUUUCCAUUACCAGUUGUUCCCCACGUCCUCUCUCCAUUUCAUACAUGCUUCCCAUGCAUUACAUUGGCUCUCUCAGGUGCCAAAUGAGGUGGUAGAUGAGAACUCUCCUGCUUGGAACAGGGGCAAAAUUUUCUACCUUAGUGCACCAGAAGAAGUAGGCAAAGCUUACGCUGCUCAGUUUGCAAAAGACGUAGGGAUGUUUUUAGAUGCUAGAGCAACAGAGCUUGUGUCUGGUGGCAUGCUGGUGCUAAUUAUAGGAUCCUUCCGAAAUGAGAUUUCUCCUUCUCACACGCUAGCUUCUGUGUUGUUCGAUCUUUUGGAGUCUACCCUGCUGGACAUGGCAAAAGAGGGAUUAAUAAGCAAAGCUCAGGUGGACUCCUUCAAUUUGCCUUUGUAUCUUGCUACUCCUAACGAGAUGACAGAGAUCAUAGAAAAAAAUGGGCG